CUUAAAAAGAAGGAUCUGCAAGAAUAGAAGCUCCUCCCUGAACCAGUGUGAGAAGUGCAUCUAUCCGCAUGACAAUGCGUGUUGUGUUGGCCAUAAGAAUGUGCCUCACAGAGGUCCACCUGCAGGGAGCUUAAUUGACCAGGCUGCUUCACUGAGCCUCGGGAGUCACUGCGAUUACAGGUGUGUGUCACCAUGCCGUUGAUUCUAGCUUCUUAUCACUCUGCUUCUUGUGGCUGAAGAGCAGCAGAAGGGAUACUCAGCCAGCCACUGAGCUGAGUAUCUUUUUAAUUUUGAGACAGUGACUUACUAAGUUGCACAAGUUGACCUCAAACUUUUGAUCCUCCUGCCUUGGCCUCCAGAGUAGCUGGGAUUACAGGUAU